AAUGAAUUUAAGCUUCAUAUAUAAAGAUUAUAUCUUUUAUUAGAAA
rnacentral:tRNA from 1 species